AUGGGAAACUCGGGUCAGCCAGGAACCUGGAUGCUGCCACCUAAAUGUGGGGAAUGAAUGCACGACAGUGAGAAAGGGAACCAGACCCACUCCCAGGAGAGCAUGAGCGCUCAUGAGAACGAUCCAUCAGAGGUUGGAGACUGGAUGUGUGUGUGGCCAAGAAGGGCCUAGGGCUGGCCUUGCUCUGGAACCUACCUCCGUGACCCUCAAAUGCUUGGGCAGCAGAAAGCCUCAACCCCAGAACACACACUCCCUCCUGACUUUCACAACACACGGUCCACACGGCUCUCCUGCUCUCGAGGUGGGUGACUGGGGAAGCAGGCAUCUCUGUGGUCAGCUCGGAUGU
ensembl:lncRNA